GUUUGCGUUUCAGCACGUUGGAAGUGGAGAAGUGGUGAACGAUUAUUGCAUUGACGGAACAGAACUAUAAUCUAGUGGGAAUAUAAAAUAAAUGUGUCUGGGCAAAUUGGUAUUGCCGGAUAACCCGAACAGAUUUUCAAACAGAUCCAAAUGCAUGUGGACCUCAGCGCACUCCUGAGCACUACAAAUCUGCAGUAGACAUUUUACAGUCUGAGGAACAACAAAACGUUGAAGAAAUGGGUGAUUCAGAGCUAAACACUUCAAACAUCAGCAAUGCCAUUGAUGCAGUACUACCUGAACUCCCAAUUGCAACUAAAAAAUCUCUUGAGGACACUUUAAAGUCACUUGGAGUGGAGUCCUCAGAAGAUUUCAGAUUUCUUCAGGAAUCAGAUCUGACAGCUGUACUGAAGCCCAUUCAAGCCAGGAAAUUUAUGUCUGUUCUAAAGGAGACCAGUGUUUGUUCAUCAUAAAUCCUGAAAAGGGCACAAAGGUAGUGGAAAAGAAGAACAAAAAACGACUCCCUGUGAACCUAAGAGUCUUCACCUUAAUCUCUGACCUUUCUGAUUAUGAGUGGCGAGAGACAUUGUAAAUGGCCUGCAAAGGUGCCCAGCAACUUUUGUUCCUUGUUCUGCCUUAGUAGUUAUUAUUGUAAAUGUUCGACUUAGGUAAAGUUUAUCUUCUCUAGCUCAGUUUAAAGUGGCAGUUGGAUAGUGGAAUCUAAAUUUUAAAUGCAUAGUCUUGACCGACUGAUUCUUGUCUGAUUUUAAGACUAAUCUUAAGCCAUUGUAUACUUAUGAUAAAACACAAGAAAAAAACACUAAUGUUAUUUUAAAUGCCUGCCAAUCUUUAUUAAAAAUACUUGGGACCACACUGAUGUGUAAGUCUUUAUUAGAUUUUGAUGGGUUUUGAUUAUUUGAUUUAGGUUUGUAUACAAGUAUUCUUAAUAGUUUCUUAAAGGUAAAAUCUGAAUGUUUAGCAGUGUAACUUCUAUCUCUUCUUGCUCCCAGCUAAUGUGAUAAAAUGGUGCUUUCACGGAAUUGCUGAAUGAAUUCACUCAUGUUCAGUUGAUUUAUAUUAAAAAUAAUUCAACAGCAUUUACAUAUUUAAUGUUUUUUCCUUAGUUUAAAUAGUUUUCUGUCUGCUUUGUGAAAUAACUAUAGGUUUUAACCGAAUUU